rnacentral:rRNA from 1 species
GACGAACGCUGGCGGCGUGCUUAACACAUGCAAGUCGAACGGAAAGGCCCCUUUGGGGGUACUCGAGUGGCGAACGGGUGAGUAACACGUGAGUAACCUGCCCUUGACUUCGGGAUAACUUCAGGAAACUGGGGCUAAUACCGGAUAGGAAUCCUUGCUGCAUGGUGGGGGUUGGAAAGCUUCGGCGGUUUUGGAUGGACUCGCGGCUUAUCAGCUUGUUGGUGGGGUAGUGGCUUACCAAGGCUUUGACGGGUAGCCGGCCUGAGAGGGCGACCGGCCACAUUGGGGACGGGGUAAGGCCCAGACUCCUAAGGGAGGCAGCAGUGGGGAAUAUUGCACAAUGGGCGGAAGCCUGAUGCAGCAACGCCGCGUGCGGGAUGACGGCCUUCGGGUUGUAAACCGCUUUCAGCAGGGGCGAAGCUUGUGGUGACGGUACCUGCAGAAGAAGCACCGGCUAACUACGUG